rnacentral:miRNA from 1 species
GGCGGCGGUGGAGGCGGAGG